UUUAUCUGAAAAUUUGUACAUAUUUCUAAUUUAAUUUUAGGAGCAAUUGCUUAUAUACCCGUGAAAAAUUUUCAACUUUCUGAUUUACCCUUCUUAGAAGGAUAAUAUUAACAAUAUUCUUUUUACGUUCCAAUUUAUUUCAAAUAUAUCUCUAGAGUUAAAUUCUAUUAAUGAGCGGUUAACAAUAGCUGUUAUCUUAAAAUUACUAUUUUGCCCUUUCAAAUAUACCCUUCUACCAUCACCAACUUUUCUUAUUUGCCCUCAAGUUGGGAGCACAAAAAAUAUUUUAAUUUUUGGUAUUUUCAGCUAUACCCUUCUACUAUCACCGACAUUUCUUAUUUACCCUUAAGUUAGGGGCAAAAGAGACAUUUUAAUUUUUUUUUUUUUAACUCUAAUAGAUAUUUAACUCACGUUUAACCUAAGUUAACUUAAUGAGUGAUAACUGUAGGAGUAUUUUGGAAUAAUGGAGGAACAUUUGAGGGGUAUAUUGGAAAGAAAAAAAAAAGUAGGGAUAAAUGAGAUAUUUUUAAAGUUUUGAGAGAUAUAUAGUGUAGUGUUUCUGAGCUUUGGAUAGGAUUGGCUUUAGUGUUAGUGACUAGUCGACACAUCUGGAGAGUGUCGGACUGAGUCGGAGUCGUUUCUGCGCGAAAUGGAUGCAGAAAUAGACUCGGCGCACUCAAAUAAGCAAAACUAGAGUUUUGCCAGAUUCGGGCGCCCAGAACUGGCCUUGGGUCGCCCAGAAGUUGAGUGCAGAACUGGACAGAACUGGAAGCCAAUUCGAAUCCGGGUUUCGGGCGCCCGAAUGUGGGUCCGAAUGUUCACCUCGUGAGUAUCGUU
rnacentral:lncRNA from 1 species